GCUAAUGGAGGAAGAACAAAUAGAAAUUGAAGAAGUUUACACAUUAUUGACCUGUACCUUAUUAUACCUAUUGUUUUCGAUCUUUCUUAACCUGGGCACAACUAUGAAACGUCAUAUGCUCUUACUACCCUGGCUUAUCUACUCUGGCAUUCUUUUGUCAUUGGGCCCUAUUAAAUUGAUCUACUCUUCGAUUAUACGACUAGAUCGAGUGGAAGAGUCUAAUGAAAUUUAGUGGGAGAAUUCUUCUCUUUCCUUGCUUUACUCGGUCUUAUGAUGUACUUUUACUAUGUCAUCUACUCACUGUAUAUACAGCUGAAACACUCCAACAAACAGAGAGUCGGACGGAUUCAUGACGCAGAGGCAUUUGCUAUGACCAAUCCAGAGAUUUCCGGCAAGGCUAGAAAUGUCUGGAUGUAAGUUAAAGAAUACGUAGACUCUGGCUUGCAAGCUAAAAAUAGCUAAGUCCAGUUUAAGUUUAUUUAUGUAUUUGAUUAU